rnacentral:rRNA from 1 species
AACGAACGCUGGCGGCAGGCCUAACACAUGCAAGUCGAACGCCGUAGCAAUACGGAGUGGCAGACGGGUGAAUAACGCGUGGGAACAUACCCCUCGGUUCGGAAUAACUCAGGGAAACUUGAGCUAAUACCGGAUACGUCCGAUGUUUUAAUCGACCUUGGAGAAAGAUUUAUCGCCGGAGGAUUGGCCCGCGUCUGAUUAGCUUGUUGGUGAGGUAAUGGCUCACCAAGGCGACGAUCAGUAGCUGGUCUGAGAGGAUGAUCAGCCACAUUGGGACUGAGACACGGCCCAAACUCCUACGGGAGGCAGCAGUGGGGAAUAUUGGACAAUGGGCGAAAGCCUGAUCCAGCCAUGCCGCGUGAGUGAUGAAGGCCUUAGGG